UAAAUAUAUGUAUAGAUUUUUUUACCACAUUUUGCCAAAUCUUUCCUUUGAUUGUAAGAUAUGGCAUUAUUUUGGUACCAUUAAGAAAGAGAAAACAAUAUAAGAUAAAUAGUGUAUACCUUCAAUUAUUUAAUAUAUCCAAUUUUGGCUGAGCUCAGUGGCUCACGCCUGUAAUCCCAGCACUUUGGGAGGCCAAGGCAGGUGGAUCACGAGCUGAGGAGGUCGAGACCAUCCUGGCUAACACAGUGAAACGCCCGUCUCUAUUAAAAAUACAAAAAAUUAGCCGGGCGUGGUGGCAGGCGCCUGUAGUCCCAGGCACUCGGGAGGCUAAGGCAGGAGAAUGGUGUGAACCCAGGAGGCGGAACUUACAGUGAGCUGAGAUUGUGCCACUGCACUCCAGCCUGGGCAACAGAGCGAGACUCCAUCUCAAAAAAAAAAAAAAUCAAAUUUUAAAGAUGUUAAAGUAUGUCUCAUAAUCAAUAUAAUAUAGUAUGGUUAUGAGUAUCUUAGAAUCAAUGAAAUACAGAGCUAAAAAUAAUAUACCUGUGUCAAAUUGCCAUAUUGCCACCCACAGCACCUCAAUAAUUUACCACACCAUUGAUAAUGCAAGACAAUGCCUGUUUCCCCUUUCCAAAAAAGUGCAUGUAAAUUUUGAAUCUUGGCCAAUCUCAUACAUUAAAAAAUAGUCUAUUUUAACAUGUAAAAAUGACAUUGCUAUUUCCUGAUCCACAAACUGCUCCAGAUUUCCUAAAUAAAAGUUGCAAACAAAAAAUGAACACUUUGACAAACAAUGAAGCUUAUUGCACAUCUUUUCUGAGGUUGGAAAACAAGAGUUUAAUAUGCUGUGUGAUCUGGGCCCAUUCAUUUAAUUAUUCUAAGUCUCAGUUUUUCUUUCUGUAAACUGAAGAUAAUAAUAGAUUUUCAUGAAUUGUCAUAAUAUUGAGUAAAACUAAUGUAUGUAGGAUAUUUCUGGAACAUAGUGGUACUCUUUGUGUAUUAGACAUUACUAUUAUUAUUACUGUGCCUGGAAUUGGUUCCUUCCGGUGGGUUCUUGGUCUCACUGACUUCAAGAAUGAAGCCGCGGACCCUCACAGUGAGUGUUACAGUUCUCAAAGAUGGUGUGUCCAGAGUUUGUUCCUUUAGAUGUUCAGAUGUGUCCAGAGUUUCUUCCUUCCGGUUGGUUCAUCGUCUUGCUGACUUCAGGAGUGAAGCUGCGGACUCUUGCAUAGGCUGAGGAGGAGGAGAAAAAGGAGUUCAUCAUGAUGUCUCAGGGGUGGCAAAGGCUGAAUAAACUCUGUGUAUAAGCCUACCGGCCCAGUUCAAACCUGUUUCGUUCAAGGGUCUACUGUAUAAUGGAGACAUUUUCUUUUCCAUGCUUUGACCCAACCUGGCCAUCUGGUUGGCAAGUAAAGGAAACCGAUGGCAGAAAUCUUAUAUGUGAUGCUUAGGCAAAAACAAUCAAGAACUAUAGAGGUUACAUAUGCUGUCAUCAUCCUGGACUCAUUUGACAUUCAAAAUAACUCUGUAUAGUUGCAAGACACACAUAAUUGUGUCUGUUUUAGAAAAAAGCAGACCAACAUUUACAGAAGUAAAAUAAUUGCUGAAAUUUAUGCUGUUAAUUCAGGGCCAAGAUUACAAGUCAGUAAUUACAGUUUCACAAUUUCAGAAUCUGUAUUUCAGUAUUCGUAUAAGUCUUCUAUUUUUAGGUGAUAACAAUCCAUAACAGAUAGCAAUUUCUGAGCAUUUCUCUCUUUUUUGAGAUGGAGUCUCGCUCUGUCACCCAGGCUGGAGUGCAAUGGCAAGAUCUUGGCUCACUGCAAUUUCCACCUCCCUAUUUCAAGCGAUUCUCCUUCCUCGGCUUCUUGAGUAGCUGGGAUUACAGGUGCACGCCACCACACCCAGCUAAUUUUUGUAUUUUUAGUAGAGACAGUUCUCACCAUGUUGGACAGGCUGGUCUUGAACUCCUGACCUCAGGUGAUCCACCCACCUUGGCCUCCCAAAGUGCUGGGAUUACAGGCAUGAGCCACCGCACAUGGCCUGAGCAUUUCUUAUGUAACAGACACUUUUGUAAGUGCUAUUUAUUAUCUCUCUUGCUUUUAGUAACAGUUCUAUGAGGUAGGGAUAACUGUACCAUUUUGUAGAUGAGAAAACUGAGACUUUGAUAGAUGUAGGGAUUUAACCAAGGUCAUACACUAGAUAAUGAUUAGCACUGAGAAAACUUAAACCAAGGCAAUCUAACUUGAGACCUGAAUAAGUAACUACUGCACUCCCAUAUUUUUUUAAAUGAAUACACUUAGUAAGUAUAUGUAUAUUAGUUUGUUCUCACGCUGCUAAUAAAGACAUACAUGAGACCAGGUAACUUACAAAGAAAAGAGGUUUAGUUGACUCACAGUUCCACAUGGCUAGGGAGGCCUCAGGAAACUUACAAUCAUGACGGAAGGCAACUCUUCACCAGGUGGCAGGAGAGAGAAUGUGCGGAGCAAAGGGGGAUGCGUCUCAUAAAACCAUCAGAUCUCCUGAGAAUGAACUCACUAUCAUGAGAACAGCAUGGGGGAAACCACCCCCAGGAUUGAGCUAUUUCCACCUGACCCUGCCCUUGACAAGUGGGGAUUAUUACAGUUCAAGCUCAUAAUAACAAAGAUAUGAUGUUUUUGUAAUAUAUUUUGACUGUCAGACCACAUUUCUGUGUUUAGCUUGAGUGAAGCAGAGACUAACAGGGUCAUCAACAUUCAUGGAAGAAAGUGCCUCAGUGGUAUUUGUGAAAUGAUCAAGUUGCAUAUACAGAAGAAGAAUAAAGGAAUAUGGCUAGAUCCAUGGGAAACUUCUAUUAUUUUCCUAUUUUCUACACCUAAUUCAAUUGCUUCAGUUUUGGCCCAACCAUCUCCUGAAUUAACUGUAUACUUUCUACUUUGUCUUUCUGCAUCUUGUCAUUCUCUUCUCUAGUUCAUUUUCCACAUGACCUCUGUAUUGACAUAUUAAAAGUAGAUCACUUUUCAUAUCACAAACCUAAAUAAAUCUUUGUUUCCUUUUUGUUCACAGAAGAAAGCUCACUCAUCCUAGUACUUGGUAUGAUCUUUCAUUGUUUGGCUCAAAGUUGUAUUGGCUAUGAUUCCAGAUAUAACCAUAGAAUCUCAAUUAAAAUUAAUUUCUCUCUUAUUCUCUCAUAAUUGUUUAUUACCAUUCUCUUAUAGCUCUUUUAAAAUCUUAAUUGUAUGGCUAUGCAGAUAUCUGAUUGUUGGGGAAUAAAUCAUGAAGAGAAGAAAUUCAUUCUAAGUAAUCAACUAAUACAGGCUUUUCAUAUAGUAGAUACUCAAUUAUUUACUUUUUGGUUUGAUUUGAUAAAAAUUAUAUAACUUUGAAUGUUUGGUACUUUGUGGUUCUCAUACAACAAAAUUUCAAUUUUAAAAAGGUACUCUGAUUGUCUAGAAAUAUCUUAUUUACCUUCUCUAUCUGUCCCACAGUUGUAGAUUUCCACUCUUCUUCAUUAUUCUAUCAUAAUUCAAUGGUAGGUCUUUAGCUUUUUAUUUUAUGUACUUUAUUAGGUCUCUGUAUAAAUUUGGAACAUAGAAACAGAAUAUUUAUAUUUUGUGCUUGCAAUUAUAUAUUACUAUAAGGAAUUAAAUGUUUAUUUUCAUGUUUCAUAAUUAUUGCUCUUGACUUGCUUAGGAAGCACUGUAUAUGAAUAGGCCAAACCUAAAAAAGCAAAACCUUCUCCAACCCUGAGUACAUGAGUAGAUUUCUGCCUUCAUAAAAUAAAUUUGUGAAUUUUAGUUUCUAAAACUAUAUCCAUGGUAAACAAAUAAUUAGAUUGAAUGUAAGCAAAAUACAGUUACUUAUAGUUUACUUUCAUUUUUAUUUUGGAUUUUGGUUUCUUAAGAAUAAUGGAGUUUGACUGAUCAUUAUUUUUUCCCUAGAAUAUAUUUGACACCACAUAUUUGCUCAAAUAAAUCACACUCCCAUCUUAAUUUAUUUAUUUGUAACAAAAACAUGCCAGGGAAUAGGCUGACAAAAUAUACAUUAUUAUUAUAUUUUUAUACUAACAAGCACUAGAGAGCCAUAAGCUAUGACUUUUCUUGUUUCUGCUGUCAGUUAUCCUAUACCUGACAGUAUCUGAAAACAUACAUAUUUGUGAUUCAAAUUAGAAAAAUAUAGUUGAAAAUAAAGGAAAAAUGGGUGGGAGAAAA